rnacentral:lncRNA from 1 species
UCUGUUCAGACUUAAGACUACAUUAAAGCUCCGAAAGGGAUGCUCUGCUGCUGGAUUAGAGUGCCAGUCUACCUGUUUGUCACAUCAGUUAAACUUGUUAUUCCUGUUUCAUCCCAUUUCAUUCCAGAAGUAAAUAGAAAACGGAUAAUGCAAAACAUUUUUCUGAGUUAAUGCACAAGAGCUUAUAAACACUUUGUCAAGAUAGAAAUGUUCAUCAGCCUCUUGCAAAUGCUCAUAGGCAUGGAAUAUACAUUUAUCCCUUUUUCCUUUACUUUUUUCUCCAAAAACCAAAUGAGGGUUUACUCACAGUAACUUGAGUAUUGCCUAUCUAUUGUGAUAUUAUAUGCUACAAUUGCGAGAAGAAACUAAUCUUAAUUUCAAGAUGCCAUCUAAUCCACUCCAUAUAAUAACAUUUUUAAAGAGCUGGGAGAAAUGAAUCUCAAGUACACCAACCAGUCAAUGAAACCACGAACUAAACAUUAUUUAACUGAAUACAAAAUAAAGUAGAAGCAUAUCUGCCUCACAUGGUUACACAGCACUGCACAGAGAAAUAGUAUCCUACAGAAUGCCCUAAACAUAUGUGUUAUAUGUGUUCUUCACCCAGCUAACACAGUAAAUAAUACUCACAUCGAUGAACUAAGUAAUCAACAAACUAUAGUACAGCUCCAUUAACCUGUGAAUUAGAACUGAUAACCAAUUGUUUUGCAACUCGACAUAAUCAAAAUUCCAAACUCCUGCAAAGCUCUCCAAUAGCCAACAUUUUACAUUCCCAAGCACCUCAGACUAGAUAAUUCCAAGGAAAUGACAGAACAGAUAAUAAAAUCAUUACCGCAGUUACUGUACUGUUAUCUAUCUAGUAGAAACUUACAUUUACCCAUACCUUAACUGCUGAAAUCCAGUUCAGAAUUUGCAUUCAAGCUGUCGACAACCGCAAGCCUAGCAGAAGUCAACCAUCCUCAAAGGAGAAAAAAGAACACAGAAUAGUUAUGAAAUUAAUGUAGAAAGAAAAUCCUUGCUGCAUGAAUUAUCAAUAAAACAACACACUUCACUUAUCAGUAUCAAUUGUAAAUACUUGAUGUCACCUGACAGCUUAAUGCACCACACAAGUUGCUGGAAAAUCAAUAUUCCAUACACAGAAACAUGUAUGUGGAUCAGCUGAUGUGCAGACCCACAAGAAAAAGGUCUAAGAUCAUCAGUUUGCAAUAAUCCAAUUAGGUCCUUCAUUCAAAAUGGUGUUGACAUAAAUGCAGAUAAUUAUAUUAUCAAUUGACUCAAAUAUAAAAUGUGUCUCUUUCUUAAAAACUUGGUCUGCUCAUUCAUAUUCGCUGGUAAAAAACAUGAAAAAGCUUAACAUUCCUAUUCAAGUAUCUCACUGAAUGAAUUUCACAAGCACGGGAUACUUGGCAACAAAACAAUGAUUUGUCAUGAAAAAAACUUUUUACAGUGACCAAGUAUCAGGUGAAGACACGAGCAAACCCAAACAAUAACCCAAGUUUAGAGUAAAAUGAAUAAUGGCAACAAUUAUCUGAUUGAGGAACAUUCUAAGCAGAUGCAGGGGAGAGGCAAAGAGAUUAUUUCUGUAUAGAAGAUCUAAAACCAAAGUUUUGAAUUCGAGCAAUAAUUUCAAAUUUAAUUGUAAGAAAUAUUUGAACUUAUAAAAGAAAUAACCAUACCUCAACCAAAUACUUGUGAGGCUUCUUCCUUGAUAUUAAAUCCUUCUUUAAACAAGUUUUCAUCCUCAUCCCAGCACUCAAAUUACAUACAGAAACUCACAAUCUUAUAAUUUAUAAGUUAUACAAUCGAGAGAUUUAAGCACAAUAAAUGGAUCUAAGAUCUCCACCAAAAGUUAAUGAAAUGACAUGGGUCAUGGAACCUAAACAACAUGCCAAAAUAGAAGUGCGACAGACUUGAGGUGGCAGAACCUUGAACACCAUGCACUUACUAUUUUCCUGCUGUCAGAUGUUCCUUACACUUGAUCCACGUGAAUCUAGCGUCUAAGAUAGCAACUCAAAACCAAAAUCUGAUAUAUUAUCAGCACAGCACUUGCAAAAAAUAUAAAAAGCAAAUAAAAAUUUCCCUGCAGGCCAAGGGUGCAAAACUCCCAUAUUUGCCGGUCUCUUCUAUCCAACGUUUUAUCAGACUACAGAAAGAGCACAAACAGACAGAUAAGAAUACCAACCCAAUAAAGCGUUUGCUCUAGAAAAGUGAUAUUUCCUUAAUCGUCCUCAGCACUAAAAACCAAAGCCAGUGUAGAAGUUAGAGACGCACAAAAAUUGAAGCAGUAUCAAAAUUCAAGAAAUGAAGCUCUUACUUCUAAUCAUCGUGACCAAAUAUCUAAUCCCACAAGAUACUUUGGGCUCAAAGGUCCCCAUUGAAUUUUUUUAGGAAUUUCAACCUUAUUGACCCCUAAUCCAGCUACAUCUAGAUGAAAUGAUCAUACAUAAUAGCCUAAUUACGUCAUAUAACAUCAUUACUGGCAAGUAUCAAGACAGCAUUGUGAAAAUAGCAGCUAACUAAAAGACAAUCUGAUCCAUAAA